GUGGGGAAUAUUGGGCAAUGGGCGAAAGCCUGACCCAGCAACGCCGCGUGAAGGAAGAAGGUUUUCGGAUUGUAAACUUCUGUCCUCAGGGAAGAAGAAAGUGACGGUACCUGAGGAGGAAGCCCCGGCUAACUACGUGCCAGCAGCCGCGGUAAUACGUAGGGGGCGAGCGUUGUCCGGAAUGACUGGGCGUAAAGGGCGCGUAGACGGCUGUCUAAGUCUGGAGUGAAAGUCCUGCUUUCAAGGUGGGAAUUGCUUUGGAGACUGGAUGGCUUGAGUGCGGAAGAGGUAAGUGGAAUUCCCAGUGUAGCGGUGAAAUGCGUAGAGAUUGGGAGGAACACCAGUGGCGAAGGCGACUUACUGGGCCGUAACUGACGUUGAUGCGCGAAAGCAUGGGUAGCGAACAGGAUUAGAAACCCCGGUAGUCC
rnacentral:rRNA from 1 species